rnacentral:rRNA from 1 species
ACGUAGGGUGCGAGCGUUAAUCGGAAUUACUGGGCGUAAAGCGUGCGCAGGCGGUUAUGUAAGACAGAGGUGAAAUCCCCGGGCUCAACCUGGGAAAUGCCUUUGUGACUGCAUGGCUAGAGUGCGGCAGAGGGGGAUGGAACUCCGCGUGUAGCAGUGAAAUGCGUAGAUAUGCGGAAGAACACCGAUGGCGAAGGCAAUCCCCUGGGCCUGCACUGACGCUCAUGCACGAAAGCGUGGGGAGCAAACAG